UACGGAGGGAGCAAGCGUUGCUCGGAAUUAUUGGGCGUAAAGGGUAGGUAGGUGGUCUUAUUUGGCUGGGGUGAAAGCCUUGAGCUUAACUCAAGAAGUGCCUCGGAAACGGUGAGACUGGAGUCCUGGAGAGGGUCGUGGAAUUCCCGGUGUAGCGGUGAAAUGCGUAGAGAUCGGGAGGAACACCAGAGGCGAAGGCGGCGACCUGGACAGGCACUGACACUCAACUACGAAAGCGUGGGGAGCAAACAGG
rnacentral:rRNA from 1 species